ensembl:lncRNA
CUCAGGUGCCCCAGAGUUCAGAAAACUUGAGAAAAUUUCAUGAGGUCUUCCCUGUGAGAAUUGACUGCGGAGUGAAAGAAUUGGUUGUUCUUAAAAAUAAAGUUGGUGAAAAGAAACUGCAACUCUGAAUUUUUGUAGGCUGUUCAGGUAAUAUGUUGCACUAAAACGGUUUGUAUAACAGAGCUGCUUCUACAACAGAAUGGAAACCAAAUCCGAUCUGAUCUGUAAUGUCUGACCAGUUGGGGAAGAAGUAUGCUGAUUUCUGUCUGUCAUUUUUCUUUCAAGAAAUGAAUAAGUGAUCAUGAGGAAUCAGUUAAGGGAAUAUCUUAAGGAGUAAAGCACAUGUCAGUGUUGUCAGAUGUUACAUGGUAGCUGUCAGAGUUUUGACUGAUGUACAAGGACUACCUGCUCAUGUUUGCCCUUCCUUUCUGUUGAGUGCACACAGAUAUUUCUUAAAUCUCACUUUACCUGGAAAAGCUCAACUCAUUUUGAAGACCUCUAUUCAGAAAAUAACUGCAACUAUCCAUCCAGGGAGACCAUAUUUGUCUCGCUGGGAGUCAUUUUUCACUCAAAGGAAUGUGGUUCUGCUGCAUCUCUUCAAGGAAUCAUAGGAGCCCUGCGGUUUCUAUGAACUCAGAUGUUUUCUGGAUAUCAGCUGCGAAAAUCAUGCAUUCACAAGAAUUGAAGCUGCCUGACAAUCCCUGGAGGUUAGACCCUGCCAUUGAAAAGUCCCUUCUACAGGAAUGACUGUUAAUAGAGAAUAAAAACAGUCCAGCUGUGCCAGACAGAUUUUUAACAUGCAUAACAAUGAAAAAGAAUACAUGAUAGCUGUGCGUAGGCAGCCUAGCUCGCCAUAAAUGAGAGAAAGAAUUGAAUUUUCCACUACCUCAACACUUCCCAGGAAAUGUUUGCUUGCUUCAUUCUUCCUAAAAUUUCAAUGUUUUGCCUCCUUUCCAAUUUUUUUUUAAGUUCAUAUUAUCUAUGUCUGAUUUCUUGCUGGUUUGAAAAUUCAGCAGAUUGUUGAUAGGAAGGAGGGAGGGAAGGAAGGAAAGUUCACCAGAUUUUGAGAUGUUUUACGCAUUCUUACUAUGAAGUUGAUUUUCUUGUCUCUUUGAUAUAAGCUCAUAUUCAUCCUUUAUAAUCUCAUAAUUAUCCUUGAAAAGAUGUGACUAAUUUUUACUCAAUUUUUAUUACAAAUUUCCCUAACGCUCACCAGAAGGCCGUGAGAAUUCUUUCAGCUGUGCUUUUAGCUUUACUAUUUUGUCUACAAUGUCCUUUUGAGCAUAUAUUUGGCAUUGUUUACUUAUUCUAAAUUCUUAUCUUCCUUCAUCAUCAGUAUAACAAUUGAGUAAAGAAUCAAAAAAUGACCAUUGGGAAAUGAUUAUUUUUCUAUAUAUUUAUCUGAACUAAGAAUUUGUAUCAUCUUAAUUGAAAACUGAAGUAAUAAAUUAGGUAUACAUUAGUGUAUUUGAGCAAGGGAUGUGAGGGCCACUCUGAAAGUAAUGCCUCUUAUUUUAUUAUGUUGACCCACAAUGUUGGUGGCAUUGCAAUAGAAGUGGAACAUUAUCACCAAUAUCCUGUUACAUUUUGUUACCUUGGAACAGAUGGCAGCAGAGGGGCAAUCUGACAAAUUGGUAUCUGAUGUGGAAGUGCAUAUGGAGCAGACUUGUCACUGAAUUCCUCUAUGUGGAAACAGUUCAAUUCAUCGACAUUCUUUGAUGCUUGCUAAAUGUUUAUGGAGACCAAACAGUGGAUGUUGGCACAGUGGGGUGGUGGGUGGUGAGUUUCAGCUAGGGUGACAGUGACAGGGGGUCACCUUUGCUGGUGCGAAUUUUUACAAGUGCGACAUGCA